rnacentral:rRNA from 1 species
UACGGGGGGAGCAAGCGUUGUUCGGAUUUACUGGGCGUAAAGGGCGCGUAGGCGGCCAGCACAGGUCAGUUGUGAAAUCUCCGAGCUUAACUCGGAAAGGUCAACUGAUACUGUGCGGCUAGAGUGCGGAAGGGGCAACUGGAAUUCUUGGUGUAGCGGUGAAAUGCGCAGAUAUCAGGAGGAACACCAAUGGCGAAGGCAGCUCGCUGGAACGGUACUGACGCUGAGGCGCGAAAGCGUGGGGAGCAAACAGG